rnacentral:rRNA from 1 species
ACGCUGGCGGCGUGCCUAAUACAUGCAAGUCGAGUCGAAGUUUUUCUGGUGAUUGCACUAGAAAACUUAGCGGCGAACGGUGAGUAACACGUAAAGAACCUGCCUCAUAGACGGGACAACUAUUGGAAACGAUAGCUAAUACCGGAUAACAGCAUAAAUCGCAUGAUAUAUGUUUAAAAAGUUGGUUUUCGGCUAACACUAUGAGAUGGCUUUUGCGGUGCAUUAGCUAGUUGGUGGGGUAAAGGCCUACCAAGGCGACGAUGCAUAGCCGACCUGAGAGGGUGAUCGGCCACACUGGGACUGAGACACGGCCCAGACUCCUACGGGAGGCAGCAGUAGGGAAUCUUCCGCAAUAGGCGAAAGCCUGACGGAGCAACGCCGCGUGAGUGAAGAAGGAUUUCGGUUCGUAAAGCUCUGUUGUUAGGGAAGAAUGAUUGUAUAGUAACUAUAUACAGUAGAGACGGUACCUAACCAGAAAGCCACGGCUAACUACGUG